rnacentral:sRNA from 1 species
GCCAGGUGUGGUGGCGCACACCUGUAAUCCCAGCUCCUGGGGAGGCAGAGGUGGGAGGAUUGCUUGAACCUGGGAGGCAGAGGUUGUAGUGAGCUGAGAUGGCACCACUGCACUCCAGCCUGGGUGACACAGCAAGACUCCAUCUCAU